rnacentral:rRNA from 1 species
CCUACGGGGGGCAGCAGUGGGGAAUAUUGCACAAUGGGGGAAACCCUGAUGCAGCAACGCCGCGUGAGUGCAGAAGUAUUUCGGUAUGUAAAGCUCUAUCAGCAGGGAAGAAAAUGACGGUACCUGAGUAAGAAGCCCCGGCUAACUACGUGCCAGCAGCCGCGGUAAUACGUAGGGGGCAAGCGUUAUCCGGAUGUACUGGGUGUAAAGGGAGCGUAGACGGCGAUACAAGUCUGAAGUGAAAGCGCGGGGCUCAACCCCGGGACUGCUUUGGAAAAUGUGUUGCUGGAGUGCUGGAGAGGCAAGCGGAAUUUCUAGUGUAGCGGUGAAAUGCGUAGAUAUUAGGAAGAACACCAGUGGCGAAGGCGGCUUGCUGGACAGUAACUGACGUUGAGGCUCGAAAGCGUGGGGAGCAAACAGGAUUAGAUACCCGUGUAGUC